GGUAUGGAGGCUCCACAAUCAUCAAGAAAGCAUAUUUCUUCUACCUUUCUUUUCCUUCAUCCUCAGUGUUAGCUUCCAUCCUCAUCAUGGACUCAUAAUCCAAAAUGGCUGCUGAAGUUCCAGUCAUCACUGUUUCAUCCCAGAAAGCAGAGUGGAUGAAUAGGGAACAUAAGAUUGCAUACAAUUGUCAAUUGUCCUUUUGAGGAGACUUCCAGUCAGUAUCUUCCAUUAUAUUUCAUUGAACGGUAUUGAAGAAAAGGUGAUAAAAACAAGAUUGAGCUAAAAGACAACAUAAUCAGAAGACAGAAAAUGAACACAACAUCUAAAGAACCAGAUAAGACUGUGAGAGACCAGGGAUGGUAUUUAAGAGACUUCCCCCAGCCAGAGGGAAUAAGAUAUGUAGAAUACUGAACCACACUGAUAUCUAUCUAGAGACCUGGGAGAGGAACAGCAACAGUAUACUUGCCACAUCUAAGGAGGGGAGGAGGGGCCCAUCUGUGCUCACCCCACUGCUUCAGGGUCCUUCUAACAAAGAGAUUGUGCUGCGGUGGCCCCAAGAACCUUCCAGCAGGCAAUGCCUGCUGCUUUGGAAGUAUUCAGAAGUUGCAAUGCUGGGAACCAAGAUGUCAGGUUAUUGAAAGGAGAGGAACUACCAGAUAGAACCUGGCUUUGUAGAGCAAAUAAAGGAGGUUCUAGCCUUGACAAGAGGAGUGUGGCCCUUCCUGGAAUCCCUCUGGACACACCCUCCUAGCAUCCUCUAGGAAAGAUGCGGCAGCUCAAAGGGAAGCCCAAGAAGGAGACCUCCAAGGACAAGAAGGAGCGGAAGCAAGCCAUGCAGGAGGCCCGGCAGCAGAUCACCACAGUGGUGCUGCCCACGCUGGCCGUGGUUGUGCUCUUGAUCGUGGUGUUUGUGUACGUGGCCACACGCCCCACCAUCACCGAGUGAGCCCUGCAGCCAGCCGUGGACCCCAUCGGCAGGGAGAGGAGGCGCGGGAGGGGGACGCAAACAAAAAAUGGCUUUCAUAUUCAGAGAUGUUCAUGUUGCUGAGCUGUAAGCAGGAGCACCCUGUCUUCUCUGGUCUUUGACUUGAUUAAAGUAUCUCCGCUUUCUUGGGAGGGAACAGGGGAUGUUUUAUCGGUGAAUGUGCCAUACACCUUAUGGUCCACUUCAUGUGCCUUUCAGACUUAAAAGCGCGCGCGCGCGUGUGUGUGUGUGCGUGCGCGCUUCUUCUCUCCUAAAAAUCGAUAAGUAGCUCCAUCUGAGGAGGGGCGGAGCCUCUGGGUCAGGAAGCAGCUGGAAUCCACACUCACCUCAUUCCCAUUGUUUGGAUCAUGCCUCUUUCCAACACGUGUUCACAAUCUCCAAAGGGACUAUGUUUCUUCUCUGUGCUUAAUGUGAUUUGAAAUAUGUUGAAUCAAAGUGAAAUAUUUAUUUUUUGAAUAAAGGAGAUAAUAGCCUUAAACUGGAUGUUUAUCAUGUUUUGCAAAGGAGGUGCUGUCUGUGGGUCUCCCCCUGCCCACGGGGGUCUGCCCCUCUUCCCUCCCCUUCGCUUUCUCCUGUGGCUCUCUCCGCCUUCCCCAGCACUCCCUCUGCUCAUCAU
rnacentral:lncRNA from 1 species